rnacentral:rRNA from 1 species
UUCUGCCACCGAAUACAUUAGCAUGGGAUAAUGGAAUAGGACCCUGUCCUCCUAUUUUCAGUUGGUUUUGGCAGCGCGAGGACUAGGGUAAUGAUUAAUAGGGAUAGUUGGGGGCAUUAAUAUUUAAUUGUCAGAGGUGAAAUUCUUGGAUUUAUGAAAGAUUAACUUCUGCGAAAGCAUCUGCCAAGGAUGUUUUCAUUAAUCAAGAACGAAAGUUAGGGGAUCGAAGACGAUCAGAUACCGUCGUAGUCUUAACCAUAAACGAUGCCGACCAGCGAUUAGGAGACGUUGAAUACAAAACACCACCAUCGGUGCGGUCGUCCUUGGCGUCUCGGUCCUUCACGGGGCCGGGGCGCGGGGGCGGCUUAGCCCGGUGGCACCGGUGAAUGACUCCCUA